UUAUUUGAAACGGGAUACAACCCCUAAUACUGGGUUAAAUCUAGUAUAUCAAAUAAAGUGGGCCUAAAAGCAGCCAUCUUCCAAAAAGCGUUAAAGCUUAACAUAUUGUAUCUACAAUUCCACAAUUUUUACUUAACCCUUCAUCACUACUGAACUAUUUUAUACCCCUAUAAAAGUCAUUAUGCUAGAACUAGUAACAAGAAAUUGCCCUUCUCCAAAAUGUAUGUUUAAACCAAAAUGGACACUCCACUGGUAGUUAACGUAAAUGUAAAAAUCAUAGCACCAUAUACUAGAAAACCCUAUGACUCCCACGUCAACCUUACACUAGAACAUUACAGGAAAGAUUAAAAGAGAAAGAAGGAACUCGGCAAACCACAGUCCCGCCUGUUUACCAAAAACACCGCCUCUUGCUCAAAUAUAAGAGGUCCAGCCUGCCCAGUGACAUAGUUUAACGGCCGCGGUACCCUAACCGUGCGAAGGUAGCAUAAUCACUUGUUCUUUAAAUAAGGACUCGUAUCAACGGCAUCACGAGGGCUGUACUGUCUCCUUUCUCCAAUCAGUGAAACUGAUCUCCCCGUGAAGAAGCGGGGAUUGACCU
rnacentral:rRNA from 1 species